GUUAUAAGGUGAUUUGAUGUAGUGAGAAAGGGUGAAGAGAAUGAGGUUGGGUGUUCGAGUCUAGCCCCAUACCAAAAUACUUGCCGAUAAAAAAUAAAUAAAUAUUAGGGUUUUCUAAAGUAUGCAUUCGCCCCUAACAAAAACCUUAAUGCAAGUUAGUAGGACAUAUUGUGUUUAUAAAAGUUGGGGUGUGGAAAAACCAAAAUUUUUGGAGGAACGUUUGGAUCUAAUCAUUUUAAGCUAGUUUACUCAUAUCUUUAUAUGAUUUCUUUUACUAAAGGAAUAAAUUUUAACAAUAUCUUCUAGUAAAUGACCUUUAGACUUGGAAUUAGUGUCUAGUCUUCAUGUAUGAGAGGAGUGAGACUAUUCCUUAGUAAUGGAGAGAAAAGUGAUAUGAAAAAGUAAAGGAAAAACAAUACAUUGAUAUUUAUAUCAUUUUUAUUUAAAAUAAGAUUACACUUUUAUCCUUAGAAUAUAAAGGAAAAAAUCACUUCAAUUCCCUCUUCAUUACUUGAGAGGAGACUUACUCGUAUGAGUGGAGCCCUUUUUUCAUAGCUUCAAGAUCUUUUGCUCGAUGAUCAUGUUGAAUGUACAAUAUGUCUUUGAAAUAUGAUAUUGUACUUUGGACAUUGGUUGGAAGUUGA